rnacentral:rRNA from 1 species
UACGGAGGGUGCAAGCGUUAUCCGGAUUCACUGGGUUUAAAGGGUGCGUAGGCGGGCAGGUAAGUCAGAGGUGAAAUCUCCGGGCUUAACCCGGAAACUGCCUUUGAUACUAUCUGUCUUGAAUAUGGUGGAGGUAAGCGGAAUAUGUCAUGUAGCGGUGAAAUGCUUAGAUAUGACAUAGAACACCCAUUGCGAAGGCAGCUUACUACGCCUAUAUUGACGCUGAGGCACGAAAGCGUGGGGAUCAAACAGG